rnacentral:rRNA from 1 species
AUUGAACGCUGGCGGCAGGCUUAACACAUGCAAGUCGAGCGGAGAGAGGUAGCUUGCUACCGAUCUUAGCGGCGGACGGGUGAGUAAUGCUUAGGAAUCUGCCUAUUAGUGGGGGACAACAUUUCGAAAGGAAUGCUAAUACCGCAUACGUCCUACGGGAGAAAGCAGGGGAUCUUCGGACCUUGCGCUAAUAGAUGAGCCUAAGUCGGAUUAGCUAGUUGGUGGGGUAAAGGCCUACCAAGGCGACGAUCUGUAGCGGGUCUGAGAGGAUGAUCCGCCACACAGGGACUGAGACACGGCCCAGACUCCUACGGGAGGCAGCAGUGGGGAAUAUUGGACAAUGGGCGCAAGCCUGAUCCAGCCAUGCCGCGUGUGUGAAGAAGGCCUUAUGGUUGUAAAGCACUUUAAGCGAGGAGGAGGCUACUGAAGUUAAUACCUUCAGAUAGCGGACGUUACUCGCAGAAUAAGCACCGGCUAACUCUGUGCCAGCCGCCGCGGUAAGAC